UCAUUUAGAGGAAGGAGAAGUCGUAACAAGGUUUCCGUAGGUGAACCUGCGGAAGGAUCAUUGUCGAAACCUGCCUAGCAGAACGACCCGAGAACUAGUUUCAAAGCGGGGGACGAGGGGCCGUCUCGGCGUGCUCCUCGUCCCUUUAUCUCGGGGGGGUUGCGUUGCGCUCGCGCAGCCGGCCCCUUCCGAGCGUACAAACGAACACCGGCGCGAAUUGCGCCAAGGAACUUGAACGAGAGAGCGCGUCCCCAUCGCCCCGGAAACGGUGUGCGCGGGCGGCGUCGUCAUCUUCAAAUAUGUCAAAACGACUCUCGGCAACGGAUAUCUCGGCUCUCGCAUCGAUGAAGAACGUAGCGAAAUGCGAUACUUGGUGUGAAUUGCAGAAUCCCGUGAACCAUCGAGUCUUUGAACGCAAGUUGCGCCCGAAGCCAUUAGGCCGAGGGCACGCCUGCCUGGGCGUCACACGUCGUUGCCCCCCCAUCAACUCCUUCGGGAUUGCGGGGGGCGGAUGAUGGCCUCCCGUGCGCCUCGUCGCGCGGUUGGCAUAAAUGCCAAGUCCUCGGCGACGCACGCCACGACAAUCGGUGGUUGCGAAACCUCGGUUGCCCGUCGUGUGCGGUCGUCGCGCAUCGAGGGCUCGAAAAAAUUGCUGGGCUCCGGCUCGGCUUUCAACGCGACCCCAGGUCAGGCGGGGUUACCCGCUGAAUUUAAGC
rnacentral:misc_RNA from 1 species